GGGCCGGUAGCUCAAUCAGGCAGAGCAACGGGCUUUUAACCCGGCGGUUGAGGGUUCGAUUCCCUCCCGGCCCA
rfam:Actinobacteria bacterium RBG_16_67_15 RBG_16_scaffold_26834, whole genome shotgun sequence.